GCUGGGUAUGAUGGUGUGUGCAUGUAGUCCCAGCUACGUCGGAAGUGGAAGCAGGAGGAUCACUUGAGCUCAGGAGUUCAAGUCCAGCCUGGGCAUCAUAGUGAGAUCUCCAUCUC
rnacentral:sRNA from 1 species